GAUGAACGCUGGCGGCGUGCCUAAUACAUGCAAGUCGAGCGAACGGACGAGAAGCUUGCUUCUCUGAUGUUAGCGGCGGACGGGUGAGUAACACGUGGAUAACCUACCUAUAAGACUGGGAUAACUUCGGGAAACCGUAGCUAAUACCGGAUAAUAUUUUGAACCGCAUGGUUCAAAAGUGAAAGACGGUCUUGCUGUCACUUAUAGAUGGAUCCGCGCUGCAUUAGCUAGUUGGUAAGGUAACGGCUUACCAAGGCAACGAUGCAUAGCCGACCUGAGAGGGUGAGCGGCCACAGUGGAACUGAGACACGGUCCAGACUCCUCGGGGAGGCAGAAGGGGGGAUUCUUCCGCAAGGGGCGAAAGCCGGACGGCGCAACGCCGGGGGAGGGAUGAAGGUCUCCGGAUCGAAAAACUGUGUUAUAGGGGAAAAACAUAUGUGUAAGAAACUUUUCACACCUUGAGGUUCCAUAAUCAGAAAGCCACGGCUAACUACGUC
rnacentral:rRNA from 1 species